rnacentral:rRNA from 1 species
UACGGGGGGAGCAAGCGUUGUUCGGAUUUACUGGGCGUAAAGGGCGCGUAGGCGGUCGUGACAAGUCACUUGUGAAAUCUCCGGGCUUAACUCGGAACGGUCAAGUGAUACUGUCGGACUAGUAGUACAGAAGGGGCAACUGGAAUUCUCGGUGUAGCGGUGAAAUGCGUAGAUAUCGAGAGGAACACCUGCGGCGAAGGCGGGUUGCUGGGCUGAUACUGACGCUGAGGCGCGAAAGCCAGGGGAGCGAACGGG